AUUUUAUUUUAAAGGGCUUUUAAAUGAACUGUGUAACCAAAAUAUGCGUGUUAGAGAAUGUACAAAUGUAUGUUAACAGUGUUUGUCAUAUCAGUCCGUCAGAAAAAGUUUUUUUUUUUAGUUAGUUGUAAUUCUUGGCUGAAUAUCUCUAGCA